rnacentral:rRNA from 1 species
UCGGGAAUUUUGGGCAAUGGGCGAAAGCCUGACCCAGCAACGCCGCGUGAGGGAUGAAGUAUUUCGGUAUGUAAACCUCGAAAGAAUGGGAAGAAUAAAUGACGGUACCAUUUAUAAGCUCCGGCUAACUACGUGCCAGCAGCCGCGGUAAUACGUAGGGAGCAAGCGUUGUUCGGAUUUACUGGGCGUAAAGGGCGCGUAGGCGGCGCGGUAAGUCACUUGUGAAAUCUCUGAGCUUAACUCAGAACGGCCAGGUGAUACUGCUGUGCUAGAGUGCGGAAGAGGCAACCGGAAUUCUUGGUGUAGCGGUGAAAUGCGUAGAUAUCAAGAGGAACACCUGAGGCGAAGGCGGGUUGCUGGGCCGACACUGACGCUGAUGCGCGAAAGCCAGGGGAGCAAACG